GCCCGCCUAGCUCAAUCGGAUAGAGCGUCAGACUCUUAGGCGGGUGUUCAUUACACCUCUGUAAUCUGAAGGCUGCGAGUUCGACCCUCGCGGUGGGCU